AGUGGCGCACGGGUGAGUAACGCGUGGGUAAUCUACCCCCGAAUUUGGGAUAACAGCUCGAAAGAGCUGCUAAUACCGGAUAACAUCAUAGUUUCCUCGGAGAUUAUGAUCAAAGGUGGCCUCUACAUGUAAGCUACUGUUUGGGGAUGAGCCCGCGUACCAUUAGCUAGUUGGUAGGGUAAAGGCCUACCAAGGCAACGAUGGUUAGCUGGUCUGAGAGGAUGAUCAGCCACACUGGAACUGACACACGGUCCAGACUCCUACGGGAGGCAGCAGUGAGGAAUUUUGCGCAAUGGGGGAAACCCUGACGCAGCAACGCCGCGUGGAGGAUGAAGGCCUUCGGGUCGUAAACUCCUGUCAGUGGGGACGAAAGCCUCGCAAGAGGUUUGACUGUACCCGCUGAGGAAGCCACGGCUAACUCCGUGCCAGCAGCCGCGGUAAUACGGAGGUAGCAAGCGUUGUUCGGAAUUACUGGGGCGUAAAGGGCGCGUAGGCGG
rnacentral:rRNA from 1 species